UUUUGAAAAAAAGAAAAGAAAAGAACUCAUUGGUGUGUUACUUACUAUUGUGUACAUUGUUGUUUCUCUCCAGGCUGGACUAUGUUUCUAUGUUGAUAGUAAGAGUAGUAACAACGAACGAAGGGAAAGGGAUCAACCUCUUCUCUACGCACUCAUUUCUCACUUUCAGUACAAAAGUAACAUUGCAACAACAUGAGCGUCAUCGACAUUCUAACCCGAGUCGAUUCAAUUUGCAAGAAAUACGACCGAUACGACGUCGUUAAGCAAAACGAUUCCAAUUUCUCCGCCGACGAUGCAUUCGCCAAACUCUACUCCGUCGUUGACGCCGACAUCGAGGCUGCACUUCAGAAAGCAGAAACUGCUUCUAAGGAGAAAAAUAGGGCUUCAACUGUAGCAACCAAUGCUGAAAUUCGUCGUACUAAGGCUAGGUUACUUGAAGAGAUCCCCAAGUUGCAGAGAUUGGCAGUAAAAAAGGUAAAGGGGCUUUCGUCGCAAGAAUUUGCUGCCCGUAAUGAUUUGGUUCUUUCAUUGCCAGAGAGGAUCCAAGCUAUCCCGGAUGGGACCCCUGCUGCACCCAAACAAACUGGAGGUUGGGGAGCUUCUGCCUUACGUCCUGAAAUUAAAUUUGAUUCAGAUGGCCGAUUCGAAGAUGGAUACUUUGAACAAACCAAAGAAUCAAGUCAGUUUAGGGAGGAGUAUGAAAUGCGUAAAAUGAAACAGGAUCAAGGUUUGGAUGUGAUUGCAGAAGGAUUGGAUACUUUGAAAAACAUGGCACAUGAUAUGAAUGAGGAAUUUGAUAAGCAAGUUCCACUGAUGGAUGAGAUUGACACAAAGGUGGACAAGGCAUCCUCUGACCUUAAAAAUACCAACGUUAAACUUAAAGACACAGUUACCCAGCUACGAUCCAGUCGAAACUUCUGUAUUGAUAUUGUUUUGUUGAUUAUAAUUUUGGGAAUUGCUGCCUAUUUGUACAAUGUGCUAAAAUGAUACGACAUACUUUUGUUGCAAUGUGCUAAAACAAUACGACAUACAAGGCUGUUGUAUUUAUUCUUGUGGAACAAAGGAUAGAAGGCGGGUUAUCGAAAUUAUCAAGCUAAAAACAAGACUAGAGAAAACAUGUAGAAUCUUAGUGUGCAAAUAACUUUUUGUGCUUGUUUUGUGCCUUCAAUAUUUGUUUGCGGGCGCAAUUGUUUGCCCCAAAUGUUCCAAAAAACCAUGCAUGUUCUUAAAUUGUACUUUCGUUUUUUAAAGAUCUGUACAUUUGAAGUCAUGUCGGAGGGACGAAAGUUUCUCUUUUGUUUUAA